rfam:Triticum aestivum genome assembly, contig: Triticum_aestivum_CS42_TGACv1_scaffold_555994_7AL
AAAGUACUUCCUCGGUCCCAAAAUUUUUGUCUUAGAUUUGUCUAGAUACGGAUGUAUCAAGUCACAUUUUAGUAUUAGAUACAUCCAUAUAUAGACAAAUCUAAGACAAGAAAUUUGGGACAGAGGGAGUAGUUG